rnacentral:lncRNA from 1 species
GAAAUCUUAAAGAAAUUACAAAAGAAACAAUAAGAAAUCUUAAAGGAGUUAAAAAAAAUCCACAUUAAAUCUUAAAAGAAUCUUUAAGAAGUUCUAAUAAAUAUUUGAAUAAUUACAAAUAUAUCUUAAAUAAAUCUCAACCAAGUUUUAAUUUAAUCCUAGUUGAAAUUCUAAUAGAUUUCAAUCAAAUCCAAAAUAAAUCCUAAAAUUUAAAUCAAACUCUAAAUCAAAUCUUAGACAAAUCCUAAAUCCUAAAUCAAAUUCUAAAUAAAAUCCUAAAAAAAUCCUAAAUCCUAAACCAAAUCCUAAAUCAAACCCUAGUUAAUCUUAAUCCUCAAUCAAAUCCUAAAUCAAAUCCUAGACAAACCUUAAAUUCUAAUCCAAAUCUUAGAUCAAACACUAGAUCUUAAACCAAACUCUAAAUUAAAUCCUAGAUAAAUCCUAAAUCCUAAAUCAAAUCCUAGACAUAUCCUAAAUCCUAAAUCAAA